CAAAGAAGGUAAUAAUCCUGUAGUCGAAAAUGUUGUCUCUCUUGAGUGGAUCCUGAGUACGACGGAGCACGUGAAAUUCCGUCGGAAUCUGGGAGGACCAUCUCCUAAGGCUAAAUACUCUCUAGUGACCGAUAGUGAACCAGUACCGUGAGGGAAAGGUGAAAAGCACCCCGGAAGGGGAGUGAAAUAGAACCUGAAACCGUGUGCUUACAAGUAGUCAGAGCCCGUUAAUGGGUGAUGGCGUGCCUUUUGUAGAAUGAACCGGCGAGUUACGAUUUGAUGCAAGGUUAAGCAGUAAAUGUGGAGCCGUAGCGAAAGCGAGUCUGAAUAGGGCGUUUAGUAUUUGGUCGUAGACCCGAAACCAGGUGAUCUACCCUUGGUCAGGUUGAAGUUCAGGUAACACUGAAUGGAGGACCGAACCGACUUACGUUGAAAAGUGAGCGGAUGAACUGAGGGUAGCGGAGAAAUUCCAAUCGAACCUGGAGAUAGCUGGUUCUCUCCGAAAUAGCUUUAGGGCUAGCCUCAAGUGAUGAUUAUUGGAGGUAGAGCACUGUUUGGACGAGGGGCCCCUCUCGGGUUACCGAAUUCAGACAAACUCCGAAUGCCAAUUAAUUUAACUUGGGAGUCAGAACAUGGGUGAUAAGGUCCGUGUUCGAAAGGGAAACAGCCCAGACCACCAGCUA
rnacentral:rRNA from 1 species